rnacentral:lncRNA from 1 species
UCUCUAUCUUAUGUGUUAUUUUUUUAACUACUAAACAUUAUAAUGAAAUGUUUAUCAUGUCUUAUUUGUACUAUGAGUCACUAUCUCGAUCCCUCAAUUAGUGGAACAGCAGAUCUUGGGAUAUUUCUCUUCUUUUCAAUCAUUGCAUUUUGGUUGGGACGGAUCAUUGUCAUAGUUCUCUUUGAUACUGGUCACCCACAGAACUGAGAUGAUGGUCUUUAUAAUAACUUUUGGAGGGUUAUCCACAUAUUGUAAAUGGAAUAGUCUAUUCCAUGUAAUAAGUUACUUUUUAUCUCUUGGUUAGUGCAAUAAGUGGAGGAAGAAAUGAGUGUAUUAUUGGAAUUUUAUCAUGAGGACAAAACUGCCCUUCCACUUGUUGGGGUGUUUAAAGAGUAGAUUGGGAUCAAAUUAUAAUUGGAAAGAACAAUUUCUCCUAUACCAUGUUUUUAUUCAGCUAUUUUGGUGGAACAGAACUAUCUGAAUAAGUAAUUUUUUUCGAAUAGGGCUAUUCCAUGGCCUGCUAGAGUGUUUGACAGGAUAACCCUUCAUUUGGAGGGAUAACCUCUCACUUAUCCAUCUACCAAUCGCAACCUCAGGCUGCAAUUGUUACACAUGAUAAAUCCCACCAAAUACUUUGAAAGGCUGGUUAUUUGGAUAAGUUUAUUCCACCAAAAUGGUGAAAUAGAAUUAUUCUACGAAACAUAGAGAACUUGUCUCUUCCAAAUAUUGUUCUGGCUCGAUCCACUUUCUAAAUACACCAAAGAAAAAAAGAAAAAAACAGAAAGGAUAAUUUUGUCCUCGUGAUAAAAUUCAAAUAAUCGUGGAAACUGAUAUUCUUAUUCAUCUACUUAUGCCUCCAACCAAAUAUCAAAAAGUAAUUUAUUUCCUACAAUAGACUCUCCCAUCUACAAUAAAAAGGACAAUCCUUGAAAAAUAAUCCUCUACCAAAUGUAGCUUAUUGUUGUGUAUGGAUGCUGAAUGGUUGAUUAUUUUUUUUGCAUCACUUUAAUUAUUGGUAUUCACAUCUAAGCUAGCUAACUAGUGGAUAAAGUUAUUCAAUAUUUAGUUGGUACUUGCUACCUAUUGUUGAGGUCUACGUGCCAGUCGUACAUACCCCAUCUCCUCCACCUAGCGUGAGGUAUUGUCCGCUCUGAAAUAGUACGUGCCCACUACAGGGAACCACGACGCUGCCCCUCACGGUUUUGCCCCACAAAAGGCGCCUCAUCUGGGAGAGGGGGAGUGGUAGUCCCUUGAUUGUAUCCGGUAUGGGACUUUCGGACUCAAUGCCCCCGAUGCCCAUCCUGCAACAGAGCCCCCCAGCAAGGGAGGUCUACUGCGUAGGUAGGGGACGGGUUUCCACAGACGGCGCCAAUUGUUGAGGUCUACGUGCCCAGUCGUACACACCCAAUCUCCUCCACCCAGCGUGAGGUAUUGUCCGUUCUGAAACAGCGCGUACCCGCUACAGGGAACCACGACGCUGCCCCUCAUGGUUUUGCCCCACAAAAGGUGCCUCACGUGGGAGAGGGGGAGUGGUAGUACUUAAGCAGUAGAGUCCCUUGAUUAUAUCCGGUAUGGGACUUUCGGGUUCAAUACUUCCGAUGCCCAUCCUGCAACACCUAUCAUCAGCACAAUCCUGCAAACAAAAAGUGAAGGAUGAUUAAAAAAUAUACUAUAAAUAUUAUCGAUAUCAGAAGCAGCAGUGAAAAUGAGAACUGAAGGGUUGAUUAUUUCAUGAUAUAAUUUUAAUCUUGCUAUCCACCUUUCUAUCCCG